CAUGGAGCACUGGGUGUUCUAUGUAAACAAUGAAUCUUGGAACACUGCAUCAAAAACUAAUGGCAUAUUGUACGGCGACUAACAUAACCCAAUAAAAAAAAGGAACUUUAGAAAGGGGAA